CCUGAUCACUCAUUAGGUAGAAUCACUGAGUAGGUUCAUGUUAAUGGUUUGACCUAUUCGAAACUUUCAGUGGAGGCCCAUCACUUACUGAAAUGAAAUCUAGGACUAAAUUAAAUACUAGAAGUUGUUUAGAGAAAUAAUUGAUUGAGAAUCGAUCUAUAGGUGCAUAUGGGUUGAUCGAGCCAUCCUCGGGCCUAUAUGUAGUCUGUGGAUUCUAGUACCUACUAAGAAAUUAAGGUUAUUCCUCGAAUUGGAGGUAGAGAUAUGAAUUCGUAUAAAAUAGUGGGAGGAUCUUUAGACUAAAGUCCAAGUCUUUAGGAUUAAUAAAUUUAUAUACUACUUAGGUUUUGGUUUAUCCUUGUAUGUGCAGAUAUGGCCUCAAACUUAUCGCUUCGUUCACUGUUGGAUAGUGAGAAGCUAAUCGGAUCGAAUUUUGAUAAUUAAUAUUGAAAGCUAAAGGUAGUCUUAGAGCACGAGCGGAUCCUUUAUGUGAUAACGGAUCUGGCACCUGAGGAGCCUGCUCCUAAAGCUUCUAAUCAGGAAGCCACCACGCCUUGGACAAGUACCAGAUGGAUGCCCAACCUCUUGGACGUGAAGAGGGAAGGGAGAGGAGCAUAGAGGGAA
rnacentral:lncRNA from 1 species